rnacentral:rRNA from 1 species
GACGGAGGAUGCAAGUGUUAUCCGGAAUUAUUGGGCGUAAAGCGUUUGUAGGUGGAGAAAUAAGUCUAUUGUUAAAUCCAGGAGCUUAACUUCUGUCAAGCGAUAUGAAACUAUUUUUCUUGAGGGUGGUAGGGGUAGAAGGAAUUCCUAGUGUAGCGGUGAAAUGCGUAGAUAUUAGGAAGAACACCAAAGGCGAAGGCAUUCUACUGGGCCAAUCCUGACACUGAGAGACGAAAGCUAGGGGAGCGAAUGGG